AGCUAGCUAGCCAGCCACUAAUGAUCUCACUUUCUGCAGCUAUUGAUGAAGGCUUAAUUCUGCACGUCAACGUGCUUCUCCUACUCAUCAAGCACUUGAACAGAUACAAAUUAAUGAUCUUCAUUACAUAAAAGAAGACCAGGGCCGUCCCUGAAAAUGAUAUAAAACUUUUGGGCCUCGUGCGAGACAAAAAGUUGGGCCCCCUCCCUAUAAUAUGAACUCAUCAAUCAUAUAGAUUCUCCUGCAUCACAAACUUACUUACUUAAGCGAAUCGUGAGGCUUUUCUUGCGAUUUUGAAAGUAAAGCUCUCGAUCAAGUAUUGUAAUCCAUACCAAUUCUUCUCUAUAUUUCAAUGUACCACAAUUAUCCAUGUUCAUAAAGUGAAUGCAUAACUCAAAUUAGCAUUGAUUUAAAAACAAUAAAAUCCUAGUUUUAUCUUACAAAUAAAUUGAUAAACCUAACAUUAGUUUCAACCCCCUCCCGAUAAUCAAAAUUAACUAACACUAAAAAAGAACUCUAAUAUAUAUGUAACAUAUCCAAAUUAGUUUAGCAACACGAACCUUAUCAUACAAAUAA
rnacentral:lncRNA from 1 species